CGUCUUUUGCUAACCCCGCAUAAAAGAUAAUGCCUGCCCAGUGAGUAACCCUUAAACGGCCGCGUUAGCGUGAGCGUGCUAAGGUAGCGUAAUAAUUAGCCUCUUAAUUGGAGGCCAGUGAAAGGCAACACGAGGAACACCUAUACUUUAUAUGUAAAAAAAACUUUUCUUCUAAGUGAAAAGCCUUAGAUGCUAAAAGAAGACGAAAAGACCCCGCGGAACUUUACCUUUUCUUUACAACCACUAAACCCUUACCUAAGUGUAAGUACUAAGGUUUGAUUGGGGCAAUCUCGGAACCACCCAAACUUCCGAUUUACAUUUCAACUAAUCUAAAAUUUGCUUGAAACUAAAAAGAAGUUACCCCGGGGAUAACAGCGUUAUCCAACUUAAGAGUACAUAUCGAAAGUUGGGUUUGCGACCUCGAUGUUGGCUUAAGGACAUCCACAUAAGUGCAGCCGCUAUGAAUGGACAGUCUGUUCGACUAUUAUAACCUU
rnacentral:rRNA from 1 species